rfam:Triticum aestivum genome assembly, contig: Triticum_aestivum_CS42_TGACv1_scaffold_030617_1BL
UCUCGGUGAUAAUGAAUACUGAUUAGAUGUCUGAUACAAUCCAUUCUAUUAAACCAUGGAGAUGAAAGGAGGCAUUUCUGUGAGAGAA